GCUGUCCGUAUUUAAUGAUUAUUAGCGUUAUCACUAAGAGGAUGGAUAACCGAUUGCAUUGAUAAAAAUAUAAAUAUUGAGGGGUUAGGAUUAAUUCUGGCUAAAAAUAUAAUACCAAAAGUUUUAAGAAAAAAAUAAAUAUAACAAGUAAGAUAUAUUCAUAUGAAGUUGAGGAAGUUAAUAAUUUUAAUCCUGUAUAUUAAAAAUCUAUAUAAAAAAAACAACAAAAAUUAGAACUCGAAGAUAUAAAAGGGGAAGAAAAAAGAUUAUUCUUCUUAUAUGAAAAAAAAAAACAAAACAUAUAUAUUGGGUGAUAAAGCUAAGAGAGCAGCCCUAGAGAAUAAAAUCUUCGAACAUUUUAGAGAAAGAUGAUCGCAGUUGAGUGAUCAAAAUAAGUAAAAAUUGUAUGAAUUUAUGAUAGAUA